CUUCUUUUUCAAAGUUGGAGGAAAAUAUAAAGAAAAUAAAAGGAAAAAAUCAGAGAGAAAAGAUCGAAAGAAAAAAUCUUCAGUAGCUGGGUCAAAAUUUUCUAAGGAAAAACUCACUGGUUCGAGUUCUUUUGAGGUUCUGUUUUCUCAAGAAAACUCGAUUUUAAAAUUUCAAGUUGUGGUCGACUUUGUUUUGGAGCUCAAAUUUCUACAGUGUUUCAGUUAAGCUGUUUCUGGGUCUGUCGCUGCAUAUCCUGGGUUGCAUUGCUGCUUUUGAGGUGUUGAUUUCACUCUGUUGUGGUGCUGCUGUUAAGAAGCUUUAUUUGGUCAUUUGUUGGUUAGUAUACUGAUAUUAGAUUUCUUUAGUAUUGAUGAUUCACAUGGACGAGAAAGCAAGUGAACUAUCCCAUGUGAUUGGAUUGGUUAAUAAGGGUGAAGAUAAUUUUUUAGGACAUUCUCUUAAAGGUUGAAGCGCACACAUUUGUUUCAUAUGACAAGGUGGCUAAUAUCUUGAUGUUUGAAUUACUGGAUCAGCGUUGUGGCAGUAAGUGUGCCCGUUAACCAUCGAUUCUCCCAAAACGAUCUAUGUAUUGAAUUUUAGCAAUAUAUUAAGUUGAAACGUCUGAAUAAAUUCAAGGUAUAGAUUAUGCUUUAA